rnacentral:rRNA from 1 species
UACAGAGGUCUCAAGCGUUGUUCGGAAUCACUGGGCGUAAAGGGUGCGUAGGCUGCACGGUAAGUCAGAGGUGAAAUCCCGGAGCUCAACUUCGGAAUUGCCUCCGAUACUGCCGUGCUUGAGGACUGGAGAGGAGAUUGGAAUUCACAGUGGAGCAGUGAAAUGCGUAGAUAUUGUGAGGGACACUAGUGGCGAAGGCGAAUCUCUGGACAGUUCCUGACGCUGAGGCACGAAGGCCAGGGGAGCAAACGGG